UCCCUUGAGACAAAAAUUAAAACAAGAAAGAAAGAAUGAAAUCUUGAUUUUCCUUGUCACAAAUUACAUACUUAAUAAAGGCACUAUAUUAAUUAAUUUACCUGUAUUUUCGAGAACAUCAUGGGUAUAUCCGUUAGGGCAGCUACCACUAUUGACGAUUUUGCAUCCACAGCCAUUUGCACAAAUUGGCCUGGGAGCUCCGGUAAGACGGCAUACAUUGUAACAGUUUCUACCAGUAGUGUUAGGACAGCAGCUCUUUGCUUCGACUUGAAUCUGCGCCAUGACAAGACUCACUAGGAGCACACUAAGAAUCAAUGUUUUGCCUUCCAUCUUUGGAUUGAUAAGUUGUUUGAUUGCAAAAUGUAUAUGUAGAGAGUUAUAAGCUUGUAUUGGUGAUAUGGUGAUGAAACAAGGCUCCCUUAAAUACUAGUUGGGUCUACGAUUGGUAACCACAAACUUCAUAUGAUAUGUUUAUCACAUGCUCUCUAUAGACUCUGUCUGUACAUGCUGCGCGUGGACCAAACCUUAUCUUAAUGGCAAUCUGAUCCAUGACUAAGGAUAAAUUUAAAUCAUCUUCUUCUUUUUCUUUUUGGUUAAGUUAACAUUUGAAUUUAGGAUACUUAAUAUUCACUAUUUCCUAUUGGUACUAAUGCUGGUGUAUAUUCUUAUAAUUUGGUUUAUAUGAGAGUUCAUAUUAUGAGUAUAAUGUCUAUAAAGUUUGUAUCACUUCUCUUGUUAUUAUUUGGAAUAGAGAAUUAAGAAGAUCAGUAGGAGUAGUUUGAAGAUGGAAAGAUAACAAGAACUAUUUUGUGGUUGUUGGAGCUAGUUUCUAAUUAUGUCUAAAUGCUGGCAAAUAAAAAUAUGAGACAAAAAAAUCCAAAAAGUUUGUUAGAACGUGUUUUGUUUUCUUUUUGUUUUAACCAAAUAUUUUGUUUUUUUUUUUCUGAAUAUUACAUUGGGACCAAAUAAAUGCUUGUUGCCUUAUUUUUGUAUUUUCUGUGAAUAAAUAUUUUGCUUAUUUAUUUUCCAUCUCAAUCUCUUUAUUCUUCUUUUUGAAUUUAAUGUUAAAUUAUAUUCAAAAGAAAAAUAAACUGUUUUACAACUAGUGCAUCUUUUGAUUGAGAGAAAAGGUGAUAAAACUUAUAAAAACAAUGCCAUACAAUUAUCUACGAGACUGGAUCCAUAGUUUGUUUAUAUAUGCUCAUACAUAUUUCAAUUUUCUUGUGAAAAUUAAUAAAAUAAUUUAGUUAAGUGAUGGGUAAUAUUUCGUAUAAUUAGUUAAGCAGAGAGCGACUGAAAAUGGUCGUUAAGCGAAAAAGAUCAAGACACGAUUACUUUUUAUUUAAAAGGAUAGGAAAUAGAAGGCAUAUACAAUCUAGGGAUUGAUAACCUUCUUUAUUUUUGUUACAUACACAACAAUUAUUGAAAACAACAAAACAACACUGUGAAAGAUGUCUAGGCAGUUUCCACUGCAUUCAUCGAACCCUUAGUGCAGACUUUAGAACACGCCAAGGCACAGUUUCCAGCAGCUUCAUUCACGAUUUCACUUGCAUCUAGUUAUCGAAACAAAAUUUGAAACGUAUCAUAUAUAUGUUCUCUUGUUUAUUAUUUUUAAAACAAAUGAUAGUAAUGAUAAGGAGUUUUGAGAGUUAGCUUUACCAGAGUUUUGGAGAGUGGUUAAAGCACCGCACACAGAGGAUACACACCCAACUUUGCAGUAUUCACUGACAGCAUCACCUUGAGACAAAAAUCAAAACACGAAAGAAAGAGUGAAAUCUUGAUUUGUCUUGUAAAAAACAUAACAUACUUAAUAAAGGCACUAUAUUAAUUAAUUUACCUGUGUUUUCGAGAACAUCAUGGGUAUACCCGUUAGGACAUCUACCACUACUGAUGAUUUUGCAGCCACUGAGGCUUGCACAUGUUGGCCUGGGUGUUCCGGGAAGGCGACAAGUAUUAUAGAUGUUUCUAGCAGUGGUGUUAGGACAGCAGCUCUUUGCGUCAACUUGGAUUUGUGCCAUGACAAGACUCACUAGGAGCACACUUACAAUCAAAGUUUUGCCUUCCAUCUUUCGACUGAUCGGU
rnacentral:lncRNA from 1 species